UACGAAGGGGGCUAGCGUUGCUCGGAAUCACUGGGCGUAAAGCGCACGUAGGCGGCUUUUUAAGUCAGGGGUGAAAGCCCAGAGCUCAACUCUGGAAUUGCCUUUGAGACUGAGUGGCUUGAGUACGGGAGAGGUGAGUGGAAUUCCCAGUGUAGAGGUGAAAUUCGUAGAUAUUGGGAAGAACACCGGUGGCGAAGGCGGCUCACUGGCCCGUAACUGACGCUCAUGCACGACAGCGUGGGGAUCAAACAGG
rnacentral:rRNA from 1 species